GGAUAGUUAAGAGUACAGAGCUUCGAUAACAUUUUAUGUACACAAAAGUAUAUUUACCCAAUCAUGAAAUCCUGAUGCAAAAAGUGUGUCUUGCCGCUAUCACUGAUGGUGAUCUGAAAAAAAAUAUGAAUAAACUGGUAUGAGCUACACUAAACAUAUUGAAUCUUACCAAAACAAAUAUAAUACUAAACAUUUUUAAUAAUUGGGUUUGAGAAGCUAACAUGUACAUCAAUAACAACUUAUCUUAAUAAAAUAUUCAUACUAAGCCAGUAAAUCGGUGCAUGUAAGAACAUAUCUUUUCUUGAGAAAUGCAUCGUAAAACUGUAUACCGGUAUGCCAUGGUUUUAAAAUCUACCCUCUCAAAUUUUUCGUUACAGCCGUACUUAACUCCCACGGCAGAAAUCGUUAUGCCUAGUUAUUCUUAUCCACUGACAGGGGCCCAUAUGCUUAGUUAUUUUUACCCACUAGCAGGGGCCAUCUAUAGCAUCUAAGAGCCCAUAGGUAGUACUUUUCACAAAUCAUACUCAUAGGUAGAGUGAAAAACUCAUUAAUAGUAUCUUAAACAACUAAUCUUAUGCUUAUGCCACAAAUACUAUUUUUAAUGUAAUUAUAACAUCAUAAUUCAUGUAGUACAUAAUUUAAAUUGAAUAAAUAACACUUUAUAAAUUCUAUAAAUAAGGCAUAUUCAUGAUCUAUAAAAUAAUAAGAUUAGGGCAGAUUACUUACACUUUAAUUCGUUCAAAAUCUCUUUAAACUUGUUAAUCGAUUCUUUGAUCACCUAUCAUAUCAAAAAGGACACUUAUUUAGUAAGUAUCCCCUAAUUCCAUAAUUAAUCAUAUAUUAAGACCCAAUUCAGGGGUUUUGCUUGAGUCCCUUCCAUAUUGGGGACUUAGGUUAAAAGUUCUCUUUUUAAUUCUUGUUUAUAGGGCUUUUACGUUCAAUCCAAAGCUACCCCGAGUCCAAUUCAUCCAAAUAUGGAGCCUUUAGGCUCGGUUCGAAGACCGGGUUGGGUUCACAUAGGCUAAUUUGGUCUUUAAUUAGAAAAUUGUGCCUGGUUCAUGAUUAGGUCGAGGCUUUUCUGAUCAAAUUGGUCUUCUGAUUAGGUUAUUAGGCUCAGUCCAAGGUCUAAUCGGGUCUAACCUUGGUCCAGGGUUAUUUUAAAUCAUUUGGGCUUGAAUAGGGUUGGCCUGAGGCCAAUUUGGUCUCUAAUUAGUUGAAUUGGGCUUGAUUCAGAUUGAAUUAGGCAUGAAGGGACUGAGCCAGCUUAAUUGGGUUCGGACCC
rnacentral:lncRNA from 1 species